rnacentral:lncRNA from 1 species
AUAUUAUUUAAGACCACAUGUUCCAUUGCAUAAGUUCAAUAAUCUUUGGGAAUAUAUAUUGCGAAACAAUACUUAUUAGGAAUAUAUAUAUAUAUCAACUAUAGAUAGUGAAGGUAUGUCAAACAUUUGCGUUCUCUUCUUUUUUAAAUAUUGCUGAAAUUUUUAAUCAAAACUAAUUUCUGUUAUGAUUUAUACGAUUAUUAUUAAAAUUAUUAUAAAACUCAUGUUAAAUUCAUAUAAAACUCAUAUUAAAAAAAUGAUGCAUAUGUAUUUAAUAACAAAAUGUAUAGUUUUCAUUAUUAAACUUAUACAUAUACUUUUUUCUGAAGAAAAUUCUUUAAUUUUCCACAUUAAGAAGAACCUUAGUUUUUUUUUAUUGCGUGCUUCCAGGAAGCAAAUUCGCCGACAUAUUUUCCGUAUGCAAAGUGACCUUAGCGUGACCCUCCUCGUAAUAAUUAGGUGAUCGCAAUACGCAUGGAUCUGUUAUUAAAAUAAACUAUUAACUGAUUGAGCAUGUUAAACACGUGCUCACUAUCCAUGCUUCUUUGUUGAUUGUUUACAAUAAAGUGACAAUCGGUAAACUACGGCUUCAAAUUAAAACAUAACGAUUAAUGAGCUUCCAUAUUUUCACCUAAAAAACAGACAGAGAGAAAAAAAAAUACGAUUUUACGAUAUGUUUGCGUAAAAAUGAUAAAAUCGUGCACAGAAGACCAAGUUUAUGAUAUGUACAUGCAUUGGUUCAAGAAUUGAGUAAACUUUUUUUUCACCAGUCACUCGUUUCAUAUGUCUUUAUGGUAUUUUAUAUUUAUAUUUUAUCUUUAUUCGUUGAUUUGCUAUUUAUAAGAAUUCUAUUCACAAUGAUUUUUCAGAAUGUAAAAUAUAUUUGACACCUGUAGUUGUUUAUUCCUGUGUCAUUUUGGUCUCUUGUGGAGAGUUGUCUCAUUGGCAAUCAUACCACAUCUUAUUUUUUCUAUAUACAUUAAUUGACCUUAAUAACUUUCUCUAUCUGGUUUUUGUAGUUUUCCCAAAGAAAUGUCGAAAUUUGUGAUUUUACUUCUUCUUACUGGUCUUCUUGGUAUGUAUAUUAUUUAGAAUCUACGUUGAUUACUUAAUUUUGAAAGAUGUUACAUUAUUAAAUAAUGUGUAUUGUUAUACAUUAUUCAUAACAGAAUACGACAAUUUAGAAUAAAUAUGGUGUUUUCAGUUCAAAGCUAAAAUAAAAGUAUAAAAAAGAAUAUUCCAAAUAUAACACAGGAAACAAAGAGAAAUAUCACACCAACUCCUUAAGGUGGUACCCAACACUUUCACUAAAAUUAAUUUGGCUCGUUUAAUUUUCAUAAAACUUUGUCAAAGUAUUCACUUUGACACUUUAACAAAAAUAUAAAAAUUUUUAAAAAAUUGAACCAACCGUUUUGUCAGAAAAAUUACACUGUUUAUAUAGCAAUUUGACAAACACCAAUUUUGAUCAUUGAGAAGCUUAAUAUUCCUUUUACAACACAGCGUAGUUAAAACGUUUUGCUGAAUUUACAGAGUUAUCUCCCUGUAGUGUUAGGUACCACCUUAACAAAAAAUCACUUUCCUGAUGUUGUUGGACGAAGCUUAGCUCAUGGAAUGUAACAGAUUCAAGAAACGAAUUGUGCUGCUAAAAAUAACCAAAAUUAUAAGACUUAAAUAUAAGAAAAUAUAGAUCGUGUUUAAACAGAAAAAAUCUAUUUUUAUUUCCAAUGGACAAAAUUCAUAUUAAUAAUCUUUAAUGUAUUUUUUUAAUCUAAAGUUAUUCAGGAGGCGAAGUCCAUACGUUUUUGUAAGCGAUAUCGUUCUGUGUGUACAAAGCGUUGUUGGUGGCGUUGUUGUAAAUAUUGGACUUAUAUGGAUUAUUAUAUUUGUGGAUAUGGUAAACGGUCCAUCGAGAAUGACGUAAAACUAGGUAUGUUUUCUCCUAUAUUACAACUCAAUCUUUCGUUAUCGUGUCAUGGAACAAAGUUCAUUUUAAUUUGAUUUCUUUAAAUCUAUAUUGACACUUUUGCAAAUAACAACGAUAGGAUUGAAAUGUAACUUUUCCAUAAAAGAAACAUUCUACAUUUCAGUUAUAGUUUUAUACAAUUUUCAAACGACAAUUAAUAUGUAAUAAUAUGAACAGCUCGUUUCCGUUUAAGAUUUUUGAUUCCCUUUAUGUUUUUGAAAGAUGGAUCAACGUUAACAAUUUAAAAAUACACUAAGAAUAACGUAGGGUUAAGGUGAAAUAUUUUUACUCUGCAUUUAAACAAUUUUAAGAAAGUGUAUAAUUUUUCAAAAAAUGUCAAUCUGCAAAAUAAAUUUUAUCUUUGAUAUUUUUCAGCUAAGCUCAAAGACACCUAGAUGAAUAAGGCCAAACUCAGCAGACAAAAGCACAAUCUUUGUGUAAUAAAAAAUAAUAUAUUGAAACGA